rnacentral:rRNA from 1 species
CGACCGGCGCACGGGUGAGUAACGCGUAUCCAACCUGCCGAUGACUCGGGGAUAGCCCAUGGAAACGUGGAUUAAUACCCCAUAGUACUUUUAUCCUGCAUGGGAUGUGAGUUAAAUGUUUAAGGUAUCGGAUGGGCAUGCGUCCUAUUAGUUAGUUGGCGGGGUAACGGCCCACCAAGACGAUGAUAGGUAGGGGUUCUGAGAGGAAGGUCCCCCACAUUGGAACUGAGACACGGUCCAAACUCCUACGGGAGGCAGCAGUGAGGAAUAUUGGUCAAUGGACGAGAGUCUGAACCAGCCAAGUCGCGUGAGGGAAGACUGCCCUAUGGGUUGUAAACCUCUUUUAUAAGGGAAGAAUAAGUUCUACGUGUAGAAUGAUGCCUGUACCUUAUGAAUAAGCAUCGGCUAACUCCGUGCCAGCAGCCGCGGUAAUACGGAGGAUGCGAGCGUUAUCCGGAUUUAUUGGGUUUAAAGGGUGCGUAGGCGGUUUAUUAAGUUAGUGGUUAAAUAUUUGAGCUAAACUCAAUUGUGCCAUUAAUACUGGUAAACUGGAGUACAGACGAGGUAGGCGGAAUAAGUUAAGUAGCGGUGAAAUGCAUAGAUAUAACUUAGAACUCCGAUAGCGAAGGCAGCUUACCAGACUGUAACUGACGCUGAUGCACGAGAGCGUGGGUAGCGAACAGGAUUAGAUACCCUGGUAGUCCACGCCGUAAACGAUGCUCACUGGUUCUGUGCGAUAUAUUGUACGGGAUUAAGCGAAAGUAUUAAGUGAGCCACCUGGGGAGUACGUCGGCAACGAUGAAACUCAAAGGAAUUGACGGGGGCCCGCACAAGCGGAGGAACAUGUGGUUUAAUUCGAUGAUACGCGAGGAACCUUACCCGGGUUUAAAUGUAGAUUGCAUGAGGUGGAAACACUUCUUCCCUUCGGGGCUAUUUACAAGGUGCUGCAUGGUUGUCGUCAGCUCGUGCCGUGAGGUGUCGGGUUAAGUCCCAUAACGAGCGCAACCCUUACCGUUAGUUGCUAGCAUGUAAUGAUGAGCACUCUAACGGGACUGCCACCGUAAGGUGUGAGGAAGGCGGGGAUGACGUCAAAUCAGCACGG